UACGUAGGGUGCAGGCGUUAAUCGGAAUUACUGGGCGUAAAGCGUGCGCAGGCGGUUUGCUAAGACAGGUGUGAAAUCCCCGGGCUCAACCUGGGAACUGCCUUUGUGACUGCAUAGCUAGAGUACGGUAGAGGGGGAUGGAAUUCCGCGUGUAGCAGUGAAAUGCGUAGAUAUGCGGAGGAACACCGAUGGCGAAGGCAAUCCCCUGGACCUGUACUGACGCUCAUGCACGAAAGCGUGGGGAGCAAACAGG
rnacentral:rRNA from 1 species